UACGUAGGGUGCGAGCGUUAAUCGGAAUUACUGGGCGUAAAGUGUGCGCAGGCGGCCGAGCAAGUCGAGUGUGAAAGCCCCGGGCUUAACUUGGGAACUGCAUUUGUGACUGCAUCGCUGGAGUGCGGCAGAGGGGGAUGGAAUUCCGCGUGUAGCAGUGAAAUGCGUAGAUAUGCGGAGGAACACCGAUGGCGAAGGCAAUCCCCUGGGCCUGCACUGACGCUCAUGCACGAAAGCGUGGGGAGCAAACAGG
rnacentral:rRNA from 1 species